rnacentral:rRNA from 1 species
UACGAAGGGGGCUAGCGUUGCUCGGAAUUACUGGGCGUAAAGGGCGCGUAGGCGGGUCGUUUAGUUAGAGGUGAAAGCCCAGGGCUCAACCCUGGAAGGUCAUUGGAAACUGAAAGGCUUGAGUACAGAAGAGGAAAGCGGAAUUCCACGUGUAGCGGUGAAAUGCGCAGAUAUCGGGAAGAACACCCGUGGCGAAGGCGGCACUCUGGGACGGUACUGACGCUGAGACGCGAAAGCGUGGGGAGCGAACAGG